rnacentral:tRNA from 1 species
UGAAAAGUAUUUUAAUGAAAAAUGAGGGUCUUUGAUUCCCUUGAUACAGGUUCAUUACCUGUCUUUUCAG